UGCUCAGCCAGGGCCCUCCCACCCACUCCCCAAUGCGGCCUCACCUGGGGCAGAAGCCCCUAGCUCCUCUGAGCCUCAUGGGGCCAGAGGAAGCAGUAGUUCGGGCGGCAAGAAAUGCUACAAGCUGGAGAAUGAGAAGCUGUUCGAAGAGGCGUUGACCCUGCACUAUCAGAUCCUGUGUUGGCCCGGCGCCUUCGGGAAAACCGGAGUUUGGCCAUGAGUCGGCUGGAUGAGGUCAUCUCCAAAUAUGCAAUGUUGCAAGACAAAAGUGAGGAGGGCGAGAGAAAAAAGAGAAGAGCUCGGCUCCAAGGCACCUCUUCCCACUCUGCAGACACCCCCGAAGCCUCCUUGGAUUCUGGUGAGGGCCCUAGUGGAAUGGCAUCCCAGGGGUGCCCUUCUGCCUCCAGAGCUGAGACAGAUGACGAAGACGAUGAGGAGAGUGAUGAGGAAGAGGAGGAGGAGGAGGAAGAAGAAGAGGAGGAGGCCACAGAUUCUGAAGAGGAGGAGGAUCUGGAACAGAUGCAGGAGGGUCAGGAGGAUGAUGAAGAGGAGGACGAAGAGGAAGAAGCAGCAGCAGGUAAAGAUGGAGACAAGAGCCCCAUGUCCUCACUACAGAUCUCCAAUGAAAAGAACCUGGAACCUGGCAAACAGAUCAGCAGAUCUUCAGGGGAGCAGCAAAACAAAGGACGCAUAGUGUCACCAUCGUUACUGUCAGAAGAACCCCUGGCCCCCUCCAGCAUAGAUGCUGAAAGCAAUGGAGAACAGCCUGAGGAGCUGACCCUGGAGGAAGAAAGCCCUGUGUCUCAGCUCUUUGAGCUAGAGAUUGAAGCUUUGCCCCUGGAUACCC
rnacentral:misc_RNA from 1 species